UGGGGAAUAUUGGGCAAUGGGCGAAAGCCUGACCCAGCAACGCCGCGUGAAGGAAGAAGGUUUUCGGAUUGUAAACUUCUGUCCUCAGGGAAGAAAAAAUGACGGUACCUGGGGAGGAAGCCCCGGCUAACUACGUGCCAGCAGCCGCGGUAAUACGUAGGGGGCGAGCGUUGUCCGGAAUGACUGGGCGUAAAGGGCGCGUAGACGGUUUUUAAGUCUGGAGUGAAAGUCCUGCUUUCAAGGUGGGAAUUGCUUUGGAGACUGGAAGACUUGAGUGCGGAAGAGGUAAGUGGAAUUCCCAGUGUAGCGGUGAAAUGCGUAGAGAUUGGGAAGAACACCAGUGGCGAAGGCGACUUACUGGGCCGUAACUGACGUUGAGGCGCGAAAGCGUGGGGAGCG
rnacentral:rRNA from 1 species